CAUUUAUCCCGUCACUCAGUGCAUAGAAAUUAAACUCAUUAAAAUUUCCCAUUCAUACUUCAUUCUGUGAACGCUUUCUAACUCAUAUAACUGGGCAAUUCAUUCCUCUCCUAUCCCACUUUGUGAUGGCCUAUUUACCUAUUUAUGAUCGUUGCCAAAGUAGUUCAUAGGUGAUGAUCAAAGUAUAUAAAUAGGAUAGUGGGAUAUAUCUUUUCAUUGUUAAUUAAUAGUGUUUUGUUUGAAGAUGGGUUCUGCAAAUUUGCUGCCUCAGCAGCACCUGAAGUUACUCUGGCGGUUGUCCUACCUCAUCGGUUAAGGUAACUAUGAAUGAUAACCAUAUCAAGGGCUGCAACUGGAACUUUUCUUCAAGAUAUCACAUGAGAUCUAUAACCAUGGAGAAGGGUUCCACACAGAGCUAAAGGAUGUGCCUGUUUUCCUUUUUAGGUCCCAAACAGAUAGGCCAACAUCUGCAGUAGCUGUUUUGCUUGAUAAAGCAUCAAGUGACAUUUUAACUCACAAAUAAAGGAACAUGGUUGUCUAUGCCAUCAAGAAGAAGAAGCAGCAUGAAAAGAGGGAAGAUAAUUUGAACUUAGGGAGCCUUGCUGAUUGGUCCUAUAAUUUGAAAUCAUCAAGCUGCUACUACUCUGCUAGAGAGUAGAUAAUAAUCUAAAAUAUUUGUUCAAUUUAAAAAUGAGUGUUGGGGGAGCUAAAUUAGUACUAGCACUUUAAGUUCUAAUGUUUUUGUGAUAUCUAAGUGAAUAAGUUAUAAUUGGUAAUUGUGUUUCCUUCUCUGUUAA